ACUCUAAUUCUUAAUUGAAAGUCUAAAUUUGCAAGUAGAUUUCAGACUAAGCAACAAGAAAAAAAGCUACAUGCUACAAUUUUUAUGUUGGUCAAAAAAAUUAAACUGAAGCCGCUCAUAUUACUUUUUGGUCCGAUGCAUUCAGUUCCUGUUCUCCUAGGAAUCCCCAGUCGAGCAUGUCCCCAACAAUAUGAUGAAGUAUUUUGAGGGUAUGAGCUAGACCAGUUUUUUUAUGGUUCAAAAUUCAGCUUUAAGUUCAGGCAUGUGAAAUUGGUGUCAGGCUUGGAAAAUUUUCUAUCUGGUUGCCAGCAUGGGUUAGUUGAAAUCUGAAUUUUGUACACUGCACACAUACUCAAAUACGUUUAAAGUUAUACGUUUAUGAUUCAUGACCAUCAGAUACCAAUAAACAAUUGUAGCAUUUUGUCAGCUCCUGUGUUCAUACUAAACUGAGGAAGGCAGAACAGAUUCUUCUAGCUGCUUUACCAGUCUGUUUUUGCCUUUUAAUGAUACCGAGCAAAGUGAAGGUCAUAGACCACCAAGUCAGAAAGGUACCUGGAAUUCACUGGGUUAAAGUAAUGUUUGGCUGUUCUGGCUGGUCAGUCGUGUAAACAAACCUACUCAUACAGUGACUUUCCUUUUUUCAAAACUGAAAUUUUUAACCGCAUUUACUUCGUUUCAUUAUACAUUUUGACAAAAUUUGCUACUGUUUUAUUUUCAUUAAAAAAAGUUUUAUUUAAAGUGGUAUUAUGCGCAUCUUACUGCACAUAGUGUGUUUUGGGCGAAUGUUCUAUAAACGCAAUUUUCGGUUACUGUACAUUAAAAUGUGUUAAAUCAACGAUGAUGCUGCAUAAGCAUUUGAAAUUGAUGCUUUAGAAAUAAAGAAAUGGACUAAUAAAAUAAUAGUUAUUUUCUUCAAUCUUCUACGAAGUGAUCUCCCUUACCUAUAGGUAAAGAUUUCUGAAGUUGAAGGGAAGCAACUCAUUCGUGCAGUUCGACUUUUCUUAAAAUGACCGCCCCAGUCCAAAUAAGAAAAGUCAUAUUUGGAAAGUUAUUAUUUCGUACAGGUAACAAGAAUAGUUUAGUAUAUUGGGUUAAAAGCUAUAAUUUUCUACACCCUGUUUACACACACAUUUAUUUCAGCCAGAUUUUUACUUGAAAAAUGUCCAUAAUUUCACUUUAACAAACUUCUCCCGCCAUGCCAAUGAUAUAAUUGGGGUCAUCUUAUUGGCAUGAAAAUUGACAAACUGCGAAACGGAUAUUAGCUCUUAGACCUUUGAAAUUUCAAAACAGCUGGUUGUCCAUGUUUUCUUAAUUUGCUCCCUUUUCACUAUUUUCAGGCAUCUUGGUCUAUUAUACAGAGUAUUGUUGUACUGCUCCAAAGUGCUUGUUGACAGACUGAAACCACUUGCUUGCGGCUCAUAAGGUUCACUUCUUGAGAGCAGGCAGCUACAAAAUGGAAGGUCAACAAAUCCAGUAGACUUGAAAAGCAAGAAAGAAACACCAGAAAAUAUAAAAAGACAGAAGAACAAGGGAACUUAAAAAAAAAAACUUUUAAGGAUAGGAAUUCAGGAUUUAUUUAGAAACUAAAUUUAUUUUGAGAAGAGCAGUGUUUGACAAAGCUCUGUUACUUUAAGAGAUAAUGUAUUAUCACAUUGGUUUUGUUAUUGUCGAGCCCGCUUGCGGAAGCGAAGACAUAGUUGUCCAAAUGUCUAUUUGGCAUAUGUGCGUGCGUGCAUCCGUCUGUCAGGAUUUGUUUGUCCGGACCAUAAUUUGGACAUGCAUGGAGCAAUCUUGUUUAUAUAUGGUAUGAAUGUUAACCUCAGUGAGACGGAGUGUCAUGCGCAAGCCCCAGGUUCCUAUCUCAAAGGUCAAGAUCACACUUACAGGUCAAAGGUCAAAUUCAAAAAUGACUGUCCGGAGCAUUUCUUCUUCAUGCAUGGAGGGAUUUUGAUGUAACUUGACACAAUUGUUCACCAUCAUGAGAUGGAGUGUAAUGCGCAAGAACCAGGUCCCUAGGUCUAAGGUCAAGGUCACACUUAGAGGUCAAAGGAUACAAGAAUGACAACUUUGUCUGGAGCAUUUCUUCUUCAUGCAUGGAUGGACUUUGAUGUACCGGUAACUUGGCACAAAUGUUCACCACCAUGAGACGGAGUGUCAUACGGAAGAACCAGGUCUCUAGGUCUAAGGUCAAGGUCACACUUAGAGGUCAAAAGUCAGAUACAAAAAUGACUUUGUCUGGAGCAUUUCUUUUUGAUGCAUAGAGGGAUUUUGAUGUAACUUGGCACAAUUGUUCAUCAUCAUGCGACGGAAUGUCAUGCAAAAGAUCCUAGAAUUACUUCCCUUUGUUGUUACUAUAAAUAGCUUACAUUUGUAACUUUUUUAUUACUGGUCGUAGGGAAAAAUCAAGACUACUUUUCUGUAGUACAACAUGCAUGUUACAUCCAAUUUUUAGGUGUAUUUUGACCUAUCUCUACUGGUGCGGAUUUUUGUGUGGACUUAGAAUUUUUUUUUAAUUUUUUUUUUUUUUAAAUUUUUUUUAAAAAUUUUACGUUCCUUUGUUGUUACUGUAAAUAACUUAUAUUGUAAUUUUUUGCAAUCUCUUUUAUUUGGCAUAAAUGUUUGCCUCAAUGAGACAAGGAGUGUCAUGCACAACUCCCAGUCCUUUUGACAGCUGGCGGGCUUGACAUAUUGCCCGUGGGUAUCUAGUUCUCAUAUUUUUCAUGAGAUUUUAAAGAGAAUGUUCUGUUAUACCCCCAUGUAGCAAGCUUGUUUGUCUUUCAGUCAGUAGGUUUUCAUGGCUUCCAGGUGAUAACUCAUGAAAAGCUUGACCGCUUUAAAUAUUUUUUGUACAUAGUUACAGGUCAAGUUCGACUUUGGGGUCAGUAGGUCAAAGGUCAAGAUAACUUGCAAACGCUUUGGCCUGGGAUCAUAGCUUUUGUAACACAGGUGUAACAUGAUAAAAUACAGUUUGUUUGAAUUUGAGGUCAAUAGAUCAAAGGUCAAGGUCAUAGUGACCUUGAACAGUUGAGCCGUUUCCGAAUGAGAACUUGAGACCUUGAGCCUAGGAUGAUAAAGUUUGGUACACAGGUGUCACAUCAUGAAAUACAGGUCAAGUUUUAUUUUGAGGUCAGUAGGUCAAGGUCACAAUAAGGCAAAACAGUGAAAUGUUUUUCAGAUUAUAACUUGAGAAUGCUUGUGCCUAGGAUCAUGAAAAUUGUUAGGGAGGUUGAUUAUGAGCAGCAGGUGACCCCUAAUGAUGUUGAGGUCACAGGUCAAGGUCACACUGACCCGGUUCUUUAAAAUGAUGCACGGAGGGGCACAUGGGGUCUUCCUCCACCAUUAAAACUGGAAAGUCGUCAUAUGACCUAUCCUGUGUCGGUGUGAUGUUAAGUUCAACAAAAUAAAUAACUGUUCUUUAAAACGGGUUUUGGACAAUAACUUCAGGAUGCUUGGGAUGAGAAACACAAAAUUUAGUACAAGGUUGGUUUUGACCAGCAGAUUACCUGUAUUGAUUUAGAGUUCCAAAGGUCAGGAUGACCCGGAACAUUUAAACCUUUUCCAUACAACAACUUGAGAACACUUUGGCGGAGGAUCAUGAAACUAUAGAGAUUGAAUUUGAGGUCAUUAGGUCAUAGCUCAAGAAAAUGCUGCUUUGAUAUUGGCUUAGUUCUGUGAUAAGGCCAUAUUGUAGAGUAUAAUUCGUCACUCCUGUGACAACUCUAGCGUUUAGCUCACCUGAGCACAAAGUGCUCAAGGUGAGCUUUUGUGAUCGCCCUGUGUCCGUCCGUCGUCAACAAUUUGACUGUUAACACUCUAGAGGUCACAAUUUUGACCUAAUCUUUAUGAAACUUGUUACCCUCAAUAAAAUCUUGGACACAUUUGAUAUUGGGUUAUCUUGGAUCAAAAACUAGGUCACCAAGUCAAAUCAAAGGAAAAGCUUGUUAACACCGUAGAGGUCACAUUUAAGGCUAUAUCUUCAUGAAACUUGGUCAGAAUGUUAAUCUUUAUGAUCUCAAGGUCCAGUUUGAAUCUGGGUUAUGUAGGGUCAAAAACUAGGUCACUAGGUCAAAUCAAAGGAAAAACUAGUUUACACUCUAGAAGCCAAAUUUAUGACCAUAUCUUAAUCUUAAUGAAACUUUGUCAGAAUUUUAAUCUUGAUGAUCUAUAGGCCAAGUUAAAUCUAGUUCAGGUGGGAUUAAAAAUUAGGUCACUAGGUCAAAUCAAAGGAACAGCUCGUUAACACUCCAGAGGCCACAUUUAUGACUGCAUCUUCAUGAAACUUCACCAAAAUGUUAAUCUUGAUGAUCUUUCAGUCAAGUUUGAAUCUGGGUCAUGUGGGGUCAAAAACUAGGUCACCAAGUCAAAUCAAAGGAAAAGCUAGUUAACUCUUUAGAGGCUACAUUUAUGAUCAUAUCUUAAUGUAACUUGGUCAGAAUGUUGAUCUUGAUGAUCUUUAUGUCAAUAUGUCAGGUGAGCGAUACAGGGCCAUCAUGGCCCCCCUUGUUUAUUUGUUCUUGUUGUAAGAGAAAUUGUACAUUUUAGAAUACAGAUUACAGCAAGUCACAUUUUCUUUAUUUUGACAAUACUUAUUUCAAAGCCUGACAAAAGCAUCCAGUACUGUUAUUAAAAGUUGUUAUUCACAGUUCAGCUAUAUUUCAUGUAUGGAUAAAACAAGUUGUGUGAUCUGUGAUCAUUAUAAAUGUGUAUACAGAUAAAACUUAAACAUGCGAACAGUUUAUUCAAUAAAUAAAGUGUAAUGCAAGUCUU